GCCGGGAUAGCUCAGUUGGUAGAGCAGCGGACUGAAAAUCCGCGUGUCGGCAGUUCGACUCUGCCUCCUGGCACCA
rnacentral:tRNA from 1 species